GAAGUAGUUUUACUUACAGCAGGAUUUGUGAAUCCUAGUCACAUGGCAUUCCUCUUCAGGCCUAUUAUAAAAUUAUCUGUAAAGCUCUCAAAAGUAGUAACCUAUUCCUUAAUGUUAAAAAGCAAAUAUUUAAUAGCACAUUUAUUAUGAGAUGUGAUAUAUUUACAUAAUCGUAACUUUAAAGUGAUAAAUAAUAAUCAUUUUCCAAAGACUGUGAACUAUUGGAGUUUGUUUAUGGAAGCCUGGUCUCUUUUAUAGCAGAGGAUUAAUGACUUAUAGAUCAUAUACCACAUUUAGGAGGUAUCUGGAAUUCUUCAGGAAUUUUUCUACUGACUCAGUAUGACACCUGGGACAAGGGAAAUGAGUUGCAUGAGGCCUCAGUUGCUUCAGAUGAUUGACAGGAAGGAUUUCAGAACUGUAUCAUAAGAAGGGGAAACCCAAGCAGAAUGUCACAGUGUCCCUGAGUUGAGUUGUCAGAGAUUGGAGUACAUGGAGGUUGAAAAGGCUAGAAUUUUCCAGAAAAGGUCCUGGAGUGGAGGGAGCUACCCAGAAAAAAAGAAAAAAAAAAAAGCCCUUUAGGAUGAAAUUUCCAGGGAGUUGUAAACUGAACAUUUCCAAGCAGCUGAGUCCUGACUAGCCAAGUGAUGUUGGAUCAAGUGCAGCCCUCUUGUCACCAUGAAGUAAUAAGCUUGAUAAGGCACUCACUGAGGAUGACUAAGAAGAAAUUCAAGAGGAAAUCAUUGUCUCUUGAAGAUUCCUGGACCUGUGAAUCUUGGUUAUGGGAGGAAAAGCAUCACAUACUGGACUUUGAUGAAGAGAAUGCACAGCCUUCCAGAGAAGGCAAUACCUUGCCCCAGCCCUGCAAGGUAUUCCUACCCAUCUGGAACUGUGAUGGAGUCUUCAAAAUGCCAUUGCAUUGUUCUACCAAGCCAGCGGCUUCAGGAUGAUGGCUAAUAUAGUAAGACCAGUAAAAUCCACGACCAAGGGCCCAUUGCUGCACUUCUUUCACUCUGAAGUGAGUUCCUUGUUCAGAAUCAAUCCUGUGCAGAAUAUCACGAUGGUAGAUAGACAUUCUGUGAGCUCAUAGGUAGUAGUUUGGCAGAAGCACUACAUAUAGGAAAUGCAAAUUUGCAUCCAGAGCAAGUGUCUAUUCCAUUGAUAACAAAAUGCUGUCCCUUCCAUGAUGAAAAUGGUCCAUUAUAAUCAACUUUCCACCCAUCUGACUGAUCACCCUGGGAAUGCUGCCAUAUUGGGGACUUAAGUGUUAAUCUCUGCCACAGGCAGACUGGGUACUCAGCAACUGUAGCCAGCUCAACCUUGGUGAGUGGAAGUCCAUGCUGCUGAGUCCAUGCAUCCUCCUUCUCUGACCCCAUCCCUGGCACCUCCAUCCCUGGCACCACGGCCACUUUGUUCAUGAGCCUACUGGGUGAUGAUAGGGGUGACUGGGAAAAGAGACUGGCUGGUAUCUACAGAAUAGGCCAUCCUAUCCAGUUGAUUAUUUAACUCCUCCUCUGCUGAGGUCAGCCUUUUUGAGCAUUCACAUGGGACACAAAUACCUUAUGUAUUUGUCUGUUCUGAGAGGUUUAUCCUCUGACCUCUUCCUAUGACUUCCUUGUUACCAAUUUUCUAAUAAUAAUCCUUUCAAUUCCCUAAUUAUCCUGCCUAACUAUUGGCCACAGUCUGUGAAUUGGUAUGUAAUCUCACAUUUGGUAAUUUCUCCUUCUAAGCAAAUUGAACAACAGUUACACUGCUCAGAAUUGUCCCCACUGGGUGGAUUUCCCUUCACCCUUUCCUUCAGGAAUGUCCUAGAGAGGGGCUACAGUGCUGCAGCUGUCCACUUCCUGGAAGUAUCUGUAUAUCAUGAAAAACCAUUUUAAAAUUAAGCCUGAAAUCUUUCAUGUUUUUUCAACUGAUUGCAGGGAACUCUUCAUGAGGCCAUAGACACUGGCUGGGAGAGAGAAGGUGGGUAGCGAGAGUGAAGACUGUGGACGUUCGUGCCACUUUUUCAUGUCAUUUAUGCACAUGCCUUCAGGUCCUGAUGAAGCCCAAUCUUGAAUAUAACACCACUCCCAUUCGAUAAUGGAAUGUGGCUGUGCAUGCCCAACAUUAUAGCAUGUAAGAGAUACACCUGAAAAUAGGACCCCCAAAAGAUAAAGAGAUGGAUAAAAUGUAUCAGUUGAGUCUGACAAAAAGAAAGGCAAUUGUAGCAAUAACACCAGAAAACACAAAAUUCAAUGUCAAAUAUAUUAUAUGGGAUACAAAUGUAGGUUUCCCAAUUCAGUGACAGCAGCUCCCACUAUAAGUUCUUGCCUAGUGAGAGAGUGACCCCAGAACUCUUCAAGGUUGGUAGGGCUCUCCUCACACAUUUAUUUCUCACAGAUAUGGAAAAAAGUGUUUCAGGGUGGAUGCGCAGAUCUGAAAUGAUAAAUUCACGCCAAUUCUUCUUUCUCCAUAAGCUUGUCAAUCCCUUCCUCUAGAGUAACCAGGGUAGUUCUGGUAUUUCAAGUUCGUUUACUGUGGGUAACCUUUUUGGUCCAUGUUUCAGCCAUCCAAGCAAACAAAUGAGCUUCUUCUGACUCCCCAAGCUGCAACAUUAAAUGAAGAAUCUCUGCUUAGUGGUCCCAUAUCAAUAAAUUUGGCCUGAUCCAAUCUUAUAUUCUUCCACCAUUAUCCCACAUCCUUAACGACCAUUCCUACACAUAUUUCCCAGAUUUGGCUAUAUAAAUUGGAAAAAUCAAGUAGUCCUUUUGGAGUAUAGUAUAUCUCUUCAUAGGUCACAUCUUGUGCCUUACCUUCAGGGGCCUGCUAGGACUUGAGUCUAGUAUAAGUCCAGAAGCAAAGAGGAAUGGUGGGAUUGUGGAUUUGUAAGGAAAAGAAAGAGCGAUCAGACUGUUACUGUGUCUAUGUAAAAAGGGAAGACAUAAGAGACUCCAUUUUGAAAAAGACCUGUACUUUAAACAAUUGCUUUGCUGAGAUGUUGUUAAUUUGUAGCUUUGCCCCAGCCACUUUGACCCAACCACUUUGAUCCAACCUGGAGCUCACAAAAACAUGUGUUGUAUGAAAUCAAGGUUUAAGGGAUCUAGGGCUGUGCAGGACGGGCCUCGUUAACAAAAUGUUUACAAGCAGUAUACUUGGUAAAAGUCAUUGCUAUUCUCUAGUCUCAAUAAACCAGGGGCACAAUGCACUGUGGAAAGCCACAAGGACCUCUGCCCUUGAAAGCUGGGUAUUGUCCAAGGUUUCUCCCCAUGUGAUGGUCUGAAAUAUGGCCUCGUGGGAUGAGAAAGACCUGACCGUCCCCAGCCCGACACCCGUAAAGGGUCUGUGCUGAAGUGGAUUAGUAAAAGAGGAAAGCCUAUUGCAGUUGAGAUAGAGGAAGGCCACUGUCUCCUGCCUGCCUCUGGGAACUAAAUGUCUUGUUAUAAAACCCGAUUGUACCUUUGUUCAAUUCUGAGAUAGGAGAAAAACCGCCCUAUGGUGGGAGGUGAGACAUGUUUACAGCAAUGCUGCCUUGUUAUUCUUUACUCCACUGAGAUGUUUGGGUGCAGAGAAACAUAAAUCUGGCCUACGUGCACAUCCAGGCAUAGUACCUUCCCUUAAACUUAAUUAUGACAUAGAUUCUAUUGCUCACAUGUUUGUUGCUGACCUUCUCAUUAUCACCCUGCCCUCCUACUACAUUCCUUUUUGCUAAAAUAAUGAAAAUAAUAAUCAAUAAAAGCUGAGGGAACUCAGAGACCAGUGCCGGUGCAGGUCCUUGGUAUGCUGAGCGCUGGUCCCCUGGGCCCACUGUUGUUUCUCUA